AUUAGUCCCUCUCACUUUUCCGAGCUCUCCUGUCGUCUCCUUUCUAAUGCCUCUCAGAGAGACAUGUCAAACACGGCCACCUGAUCUUAUGAUCUAUUCCUCCUGACUGUAAGGGAAUCCCCCGAAGCAGAACAGAGCUUCGGCUGUUUGUUCAGACUCGUCCUGAGAUGGCUCCAGACCAGAAACCCAGGAAAACGCUGCAGUGAGAGCUGCUUCAGUGGAAAAAAAGUUGCAUGAAGCAGGAAUUACGAUGCGCAAACAUUGCCUCUCUGCCAGCUCAGGACCACUUUUGAUGGAGUCGACGUCAGCAGAGAUCCACAUAUAAGCAUUAGCUAGUCCCUAAUGGACGUCCACGUUGUCCUCGGCUGACCUGAACUCAUUUCACUGCAUGGUUUUAUACACAAAGGAGCUUGUCUCACACUUGACUUAAAUCAAUUUGCAUCUUAAAACCAACAAAAACCAACAUUUUAUCUGCAUCGUUCAUUCAUCAAGGUUAGUGAAAGUCAGCAGCUCUUUUUACAUCCGUGUUUAUCUAACCUGAAAGUGCUAAAGCAAGUGGCUUGACCUAAAUCGCUGCUAUAGAAGAAACUGACCCACACUGUUCCUUUGAUUCCAUGUACAUACUCGCAGUAGAGAAAUAUUUACUCAGCUCCAAGCAGAAACCACCAACUUUGAUCAGUGAUUUAGCAUCAGCUGACACCCUACAGUGCCAAGAGUCCUAAGCUUAGUGAAAUCACACCACGCCGCUCUCAGGUGUAAAACUAAGAUCUAACUCGUCAGUCUUAAGUUGGCUGUAUCAUGAGUAACCUUUUGCAAAAACAGGCUCCAGCCGACGCUGUGUUUUAGCCCAUACAGCGUGUUGUGGACAUCUCGAAGGGUUUCUCAAGUCUCAUGGGCUUCCACACAACCAUGUCAAGACUGCAGAUCUGAAAAGCUGUUAUCUCACUUGGGCAAGUGAUAAAAAAAAAAACUGACAGGAAAAAAGCAUAAACCACUGAAGCUCCUAUUCUGCCCCCCACACACACACAAUUUCCCACAGCUGUAAAUCAUUUCACUUAUAAAAGUGCCAACUAAUCAUAUCCUGUUGUCUUGAAACUAUGACAACAGCUAGUUUGAGACAGAAAACAAGGUUUGAAAAAACGUAGAAGUAGCAGCAGUGGUUUCGAAUGUCUUCAAUCAAAUAUGACAAUAACAAAUAUGUGCCAAGAAGUAAGUUUUUUUUGUCAGUCUCAAAUAUAGUAUGGGUAAUUUCCAGAUGUACACAGAUGAAUUGAACAAAGUCUGAAAAUAUCAACGUCACUGUUCCCUCUAAGCUGCGCCCGUGCGCAAUUGCGCACUGCUGACACGGUCUCCGCGCACAGAAAAUCUGCGCUGUGCACAAAAAAAAUAAAAAAAUCCAACCUAAAUUGUAAAUAAAACAAACACGUAACAAUUCAUUCUGUGCUAUUUUUCAAUGUGAGUCAGUGACUGACCGGUGACUGGCUGCUGCAGCCAAUGAUGCGAUUCACAUACGUAUUUACCAUAGACUGUAUAUAAUGGUAUUUACGCAGCUAAUCAACGUCAGGCGUCCUUAUGUGCAGCCUCCUUGUUCUCAUAGAUAUGAAUGAGUAGAUAGGACACGCCCCUUUGAGCUGCGUGCUACUGCGAGGCUAAGCUAGUGGGGAGAAAGUUUCAGUGCAUUCCGUUGAAGUAGACAGCGUGAAAACGGAAACAACGAGUAUGCCGUCUCACUGUGCUGCAUACAAUUACACACUACGUCGUACGAUUGAGACAAGGAAACUUGGAAUGACUUUUCAUAGGUUUCCCAGAGACUAUGGGUUGAGGAGGAAUUGGAAGUUUGUCGGCUUAGACCUGGUGUCAUUCCAUCAGUGUUAAACUUCCCGGCUCAUCUUGGAAGAGUACGUGCCAGAAAGGCCACGACCAAGCAGCCUUGAGAUCUUAGGCAGCGUCUCCCUGAGGUCCCUCUCUGUCUCCCCACACAUCCACCAACCACUGGAACACAUCUCCAAAGUUCUGCUGGACCAGCUCAGCUUCCCCUCAGAAGAAGUGCUGCCACCUGCCAGAUGAAGGAGCCUUUUGAGAGGCAGCUGGCAUCGUG